rnacentral:lncRNA from 1 species
UCGCAAGUUUGACUUCAAUUUGUACAAAAUAUAUGCAAUAUUUGUAUCUUCAAAUAAAUUUGUUAAAAAACUAGAUUUGAAGAUCUUUCCGAUGAUAAUAAUUAUGUAACGUAAAUAUUAAUAUUUUUAAUAUAUAUUUAAUCAAAGUUAUUUCUCAAGAAACGAGAACGACAGUUGUCCGGACGUGGGGGAGUACAGUUUAAUAUAUGAGAACCCUAUUGUCCAAAUGAUUUUGCAGUUUCAAACAUGGUUACUGAACGUAAGAGGUAAU